rnacentral:lncRNA from 1 species
AUAGUUAGGUCAUUUAACUGUUUUAGGAACAAAUAGAUACUUUAAGUUUUUUAGUUACCAAAUUAUUUCUAACUUUUUGUACUGUUACCCUUCUUAAAGUUAUUCUCCCUCCCAGUUGGGCCUCAAUUGUCUGAACUUAAUGGUUAACAUCAGUUAAGCAUCAAAUUCACCAUGGUUAACAUCAAAAUUAACGGUCACGUCAGUGUUUUUGUAAAUGUAGGAUAACUAGAAGGGUAACGAUACAACAAGUUAAAAAUUUAAAGACCUUUUUAAAUUCCCCUAAAUGCAUUUCGUCUAAUAAUCAUAUACCCAAUUUUGCAUUAAACAGCAGCCAUGAAUUGAAUUCAUGAGAAGCAUUCAUAAGUCUUUGUUUUUGCA